AUUGAACGCAGGCGGCAGGCCUAACACAUGCAAGUCGAACGGUAGCACAGAGAGCUUGCUCUCGGGUGACGAGUGGCGGACGGGUGAGUAACGUCUGGGAAACUGCCCGAUGGAGGGGGAUAACUACUGGAAACGGUAGCUAAUACCGCAUAACGUCGCAAGACCAAAGUGGGGGACCUUCGGGCCUCACACCAUCGGAUGUGCCCAGAUGGGAUUAGCUAGUAGGUGGGGUAAUGGCUCACCUAGGCGACGAUCCCUAGCUGGUCUGAGAGGAUGACCCGCCGCACUGGAACUGAGACACGGUCCAGACUCCUACGGGAGGCAGCAGUGGGGAAUAGUGCACAAUGGGCGCAAGCCUGAUGCAGCCAUGCCGCGUGUAUGAAGAAGGCCUUCGGGUUGUAAAGUACUUUCAGCGGGGAGGAAGGCGGUGAAGUUAAUAACUUCACCGAUUGACGUUACCCGCAGAAGAAGCACCGGCUAACUCCGUGCCAGCCGCCGCGGUAA
rnacentral:rRNA from 1 species